rnacentral:misc_RNA from 1 species
UCCGAGUUGACCCCGGCAGUCUCCUGCGAGUCCCCGCCAUUACGCGCUGGCAACACAGGACAAGGGUUGCGCUCGUUGCGGGACUUAACCCAACAUCUCACGACACGAGCUGACGACAGCCAUGCACCACCUGUCAUGGGCCCUUACGGACACCGUAUUUCUACGGCUUUUCCCAUGAUGUCAAGCCCAGGUAAGGUUCUUCGGGUUGCAUCGAAUUAAGCCGCAUGCUCCGCCGCUUGUGCGGGGACCCGUCAAUUCCUUUGAGUUUUAGCCUUGCGGCCGUACUCCCCAGGCGGGACACUUAAUGCGUUAGCUUCGGCACGGAGGGAGUCGACACCCCCCACACCUAGCACUCAUCGUUUACGGCGUGGACUAC